CGGAAGAAAGGGAAGGAAGAGGAAUGUACAAAUCAUGUACAAACUUACAAGUCUUGAAGCUGCUAUCUCGGACAAGCUAAAUGUAUCGGAUAAUUUCCUGUAGAUAAGGUUCACAUGAUCGAUUCGAGAAUCAUUUCACGAUACGAAGCGUUUUUCGUGGCUCGUAAAACGAUUUAUAUCGAAGUAAAAAUGUUUAGAAAGUAAUGAUACUUUCUCCUUUUAUCAGUAACCAUACCUUUUUUACAAAAUGUCCGACGAAAAAUAAAACUGCGUUACCGAUAAAGCAGUCAACGUUUUUUUCUUCUUUCCGUAACUGCCUCGAACGUAAUAUUCGAGCAUAUGGAUUCGACAAUCUUCGGUGAGUUUGCAUACUCGUGGAAGUCAGAAAGGGGAGGAGGGAGAAUGUUGAAAAACGUGGUAAAAGUACUCGACAUGUGACGAACAGACCGUGAAGGAAGGCAAGGAGGACGUUCGCUGUUCUGCGAAACGUCCGAGAAAGACAAGAAUCGGGGAAACGAUGCACUGCCUUGAAAGAAUAACACAUACGACAGGGUAUCACGGCAGUGGAAGGAAUUGCCACAGUGAUUCAACUUCGAGUGAAUGUA